rnacentral:rRNA from 1 species
AGAGUUUGAUCAUGGCUCAGGACGAACGCUGGCGGCGUGCUUAGCACAUGCAAGUCGAACGAUGAAGCCCUUUCGGGGUGGAUUAGUGGCGAACGGGUGAGUAACACGUGGGCAAUCUGCCCUGCACUCUGGGACAAGCCCUGGAAACGGGGUCUAAUACCGGAUACUGAUCGCCUUGGGCAUCCUUGGUGAUCGAAAGCUCCGGCGGUGCAGGAUGAGCCCGCGGCCUAUCAGCUUGUUGGUGAGGUAAUGGCUCACCAAGGCGACGACGGGUAGCCGGCCUGAGAGGGCGACCGGCCACACUGGGACUGAGACACGGCCCAGACUCCUACGGGAGGCAGCAGUGGGGAAUAUUGCACAAUGGGCGAAAGCCUGAUGCAGCGACGCCGCGUGAGGGAUGACGGCCUUCGGGUUGUAAACCUCUUUCAGCAGGGAAGAAGCGAAAGUGACGGUACCUGCAGAAGAAGCGCCGGCUAACUACGUGCCAGCAGCCGCGGUAAUACGUAGGGCGCGAGCGUUGUCCGGAAUUAUUGGGCGUAAAGAGCUCGUAGGCGGCUUGUCGCGUCGGUUGUGAAAGCCCGGGGCUUAACCCCGGGUCUGCAGUCGAUACGGGCAGGCUAGAGUUCGGUAGGGGAGAUCGGAAUUCCUGGUGUAGCGGUGAAAUGCGCAGAUAUCAGGAGGAACACCGGUGGCGAAGGCGGAUCUCUGGGCCGAUACUGACGCUGAGGAGCGAAAGCGUGGGGAGCGAACAGGAUUAGAUACCCUGGUAGUCCACGCCGUAAACGGUGGGCACUAGGUGUGGGCGACAUUCCACGUCGUCCGUGCCGCAGCUAACGCAUUAAGUGCCCCGCCUGGGGAGUACGGCCGCAAGGCUAAAACUCAAAUGAAUUGACGG